rnacentral:pre_miRNA from 1 species
AGUGGAAUAACUGGGUCAAAUGGUGGCUCCAUUUCAGGUUUUUUGAGGAAUCUCCAUACUGCUUUCCAGAGUGGUUGCACCAAUUUGCAGUCUCACCAGCAAU